UUAAAACACUAAACUCUCUUCCACUUUCUCCUUUAGUUUUAUUUUAUUUGUCUCUCUGAAGAUGGCUGAUUUUGGGAGCAAUCUCAUCAAAAAUAUAAUAAGAACUCUUGUUAUGGCUCCGGUGUAUACUACAGCCGGAUAUGUUGCAUACAGAACUGGACGUUGGUUCUAUAAUCAUGAGAUGAGGAGACUUGCUAUAAUGAGCUCUAAAGAGACGCGACGAUGGGGAGGACAAAAGGUCAAUGAUCAACCACCUAAACGGCGCCCUUUCUGGCACUGGUGAUUGCUUGUUUUUAAUAAUACAAUGUAAAUUCAUCGUGGUCAAAAUUUAAAAUUUAAAUUAUAUGAAUUCAAGUUUAAAAUUCUAUCACAAUCCAUUUAAUUUUUUUGAGUUCAGAAUCUUUAAUAUCUAUAAUUAUUAGAGAAGUUUUCGAA